AUUGAACGCUGGCGGCAGGCCUAACACAUGCAAGUCGAGCGAGCGGCGGACGGGUGAGUAAUGUCUGGGAAACUGCCUGAUGGAGGGGGAUAACUACUGGAAACGGUAGCUAAUACCGCAUACCAUCAGAUGUGCCCAGCUGGGAUUUGCUCGUAGGUGGGGGAACGGCUCACCUAGGCGACGAUCCCUAGCUGGUCUGAGAGGAUGACCAGGCCAACUGGAACUGAGACACGGUCCAGACUCCUACGGGAGGCAGCAGUGGGGAAUAUUGCACAAUGGGCGCAAGCCUGAUGCAGCCAUGCCGCGUGUGUGAAGAAGGCCUUCGGGUUGUAAAGCACUUUCAGCGGGGAGGCGUUAGCCGAAGAAGAAGCACCGGCUAACUCCGUGCCAGCAGCCGCGGUAAUAG
rnacentral:rRNA from 1 species